rnacentral:rRNA from 1 species
UACGGAAGGUGCAAGCGUUGUUCGGAGUGACUGGGCGUAAAGAGCACGUAGGCGGGCUCGUAAGUCAGAUGUGAAAGCCCUGGGCUUAACCUAGGAAUGGCAUCUGAAACUGCGAGUCUUUGAAUGUCUGAGAGGUUAGUGGAAUUCCUGGUGUAGGAGUGAAAUCCGUAGAUAUCAGGAGGAACACCUGAGGCGAAGGCGGCUAACUGGUGGAACAUUGACGCUGAGGUGCGAAAGCGUGGGGAGCAAACAGG